GAUGAAGAACGUAGCAAAAUGCGAUAAGUAAUGUGAAUUGCAGAAUUCAGUGAGUCAUCGAAUCUUUGAACGCACAUUGCGCCCUGUGGUAUUCCGCAGGGCAUGCCUGUUCGAGCGUCAUUUCAACCCUCAAGCCCCGCUUGGUGUUGGGCCCCGCCCGCUGUGGCCGGCCCUAAAGACAGUGGCGGCGCCGCCUGGCCCUCAGCGUAGUACAUCUCUCGCUCCAGGGUCCGGUGGCCGCCUGCCAGAACCCCCCAACUCUGUGGUUGACCUCGGAUCAGGUAGGGAUACCCGCUGAACUUAAGCAUAUCAAUAAGCGGAGGA
rnacentral:misc_RNA from 1 species